UAUUAAAAAUUUCAUAUAAUUCUAUUGUUAAAAACUAGUGUAGCUAACAGAAUAACUAAAUAGUUACAUAUGAGGUGUCACUUAUACCUCAUGUUGACGUACAUGAACAAACUUUUAACAGUAGAAAUAGAUCGAAAUUUUUAAAA
rnacentral:pre_miRNA from 1 species